UAUUCUUUCUCAAUAUUAUCAUGCUUUAAUAACAUCUUGCAUGUUUGGAUUUUUCAGGUAGCUGUCCUUGUCCUUCUAUGUAAAAUUGAUCAUAUGAUAGGUGGCACCUUCCAAGAUGAACAAUCUCGAAUAAUAACACAAGCACUUAUUAGACUUCAUUGCUUGUUCUGCAAUCUCACUCUUAUAAAUUUUCUUGACCAGGCUAGACUUCUAAGUUUGGGCUAAGUUAGAUAUUCACAAGGCGUACAACUUCGUUCCUUGGGGUGCUGCCUUCAAUACCCUUGAGUACAUGAAAUUUCCUGAAAUUUAGGUAACUAGUCUUGGUGUAUGCAUGCAAAUGGGUUGAAAAAGACUGAAUGGGGAAUGCAAUUUAGAAGAGGCUUUUGCUGUAAGGCUGAAGAAUUGGUUUGUGAGCAUGUAGUCAUCAUCAAAGAAGGCAACUACCUUCAUAGAUGGGGAAGUUUCCAGUGACAAACAUGAAGCUAGACAGUAUAUGUUCGAAAAUGAUGGAAUUCUUGAUAUGAUAUCAUGAUCUUAAGAAGACAAACGUUUGAAAGAAAAGGAGAAUCAAUAUCAUAUUCUUGAAUAAAUGAAUUAUUGUCAUAUAUGGUAGGUGUCA